rnacentral:tRNA from 1 species
GGUUGUGGCUCAGUGGUAGAGCACUUGCCUAGCAUGCAUUAAGCCCUGGGUUUGAUCCCCAGCACCA